CAACUACUCCCUCUAUCCCAAAUUUCUUGUCUUAGAUUUGUCUAGAUACGGAUGUAUCUAAUACUAAAAUGUGACUUGAUACAUUCAUAUCUAGACAAAUCUAAGACAAGAAUUUUGGGACGGGGGGAGUAAUUU
rnacentral:pre_miRNA from 1 species